GUUCUCUGCAGCAGAAGACCCCUUGCUGCCCUGCUUAACCCAGACCAGCAUUUGCCAGGCAGUUAUAUUCAGGAGACUCGCUUCACUGGAUAUAUGACCAUUUUAUGAAUGAACAAAACAUUUUGGGUGAAAUUCUAAAUCUGCUGCCCUAUCUUGCAAAAACAGCAGACAGAGAAACCUGAAGGAAAAAAUGGAAACAAAUGUUAACAUUUUGGGUCAGGAUAACCACCAGGCUGUUUUCACAGCAUGACUACAUAAAAGAGGCUACUACACAAACAGCAGAGGGACAGACAGGCUUGAAAAGAAUAAAACAUCAGAGUUUUGUUACUAGAGGUGGAUUACAGCACUCAGUUGUAAUACAUGAUGCAGAUUUCCAGUCUGACAAGGUCACAUAUUUUUCUUUCAAAAACCUCACAGCAGACAAGGGUGAAGAAGGUGGGAAUUACGUACAUGAUAUGUCUAUAAUUAUACUUCAACUGUGAUGCUGGCUGAUAUUUUACUUAUUUAGAAAAUGUCACUUUCCUCAGAGAGUCAAAGUAGCUAA